rnacentral:lncRNA from 10 species
GGAUUGGGAUAUUCCGACUCCUUAAGGGCCUGGCGCACAUAAGGUGUGACCUUUUCAUUCCCGUUGUUAUGGAGGGCCACAUCUGCCAGAGCCUGGAGUCUGCGAAGGCCGGGACCCGGUUCCCCGGCCCACAGUGGGGGUGUGCAAACCCGAGAGAACUGGGAAGUGCCGUCAGAAGCGAUAACUGACGACGUCUAAUGUCUAUCUGACCGCAGUCGCUGAAACCUCUACAACUUAGUUGACCGUAACUGCCAGAGCCCUGCCCUGAAUUCCUGUCCUUACUCCCUCUUUAAGAUUGCGUACCCACUGCAGAGUGCUGAAGACGGGGUAGCCACGAGGUUGCAAAUUCGUGAAGAAUCAGCAUCAUGUUUGGCAGCUGAGUAUUGGAGCCAGGAGCCUGCCAUGAGGUUAUAUUCCCAGAGGAUGUCAGUCCCAAGGACCAGUAGCUGCCAUCAGUUUGGAUUCUGAAAACUAACUGGCAUCAACACUGGGUGUAGAAACAUGCUUGCCUUAUGUAUCAGAGGACAUGCUCAGCAGAUCCAAGAGAUAUAUUUGGCAACUUUUUCUAGAAAAGGCACAUUGGGUAUCAUUCAUUACAUUCUUGAGUUUUUUUGGGUUUUUUUUUUUUUUUUUGAGACAGUCUUGCUGUAUUGCCCAGGCUGGAGUGUGGUGGCACAAUCACAGCUCAUUGCAUCCUCAAUCACCCAGGCCUAAGCAAUCCUCCCACCUUGUAGCUGGGACUACAGCUCACAGCACACCUGGCUAAAAUUUUUUUUUUGUUGAGACGGAUUCUCUAUGUUGCCCAGGCUGGUCUCAGGCUCCUGGGCUCAGAUGGUCCUCCUGCCUCAGCUUCCAAAGGCACAGGCCAAGUUGUAGCUUUGUCCCUUGCCAUCAUGCCCAACAAGAGGUUCUAUACCUUUUAAUGAAUUGACUUUCAUAAAUUGGUUAUGUUGGUGGGCAAAGUUCUUUAAGCUGGAAAUUGUAAAUUCCUCCUGAAAUGUUUUUUCAUGCAGUUACCAUGAACUAAUACUACAAUAAAGGAUGGUCUUGGGUGUCAAUUCUUGAA